UACAGAGGUCUCAAGCGUUUGUUCGGAUUCAUUGGGCGUAAAGGGUGCGUAGGUGGCGCCGUAAGUCGGGGUGUGAAAUUUCGGAGCUUAACUCCGAAACUGCAUUCGAUACUGCGGUGCUUGAGGACUGGAGAGGAGACUGGAAUUUAUGGUGUAGCAGUGAAAUGCGUAGAGAUCAUAAGGAAGACCAGUGGCGAAGGCGGGUCUCUGGACAGUUCCUGACACUGAGGCACGAAGGCCAGGGGGAGCAAAACGGGG
rnacentral:rRNA from 1 species